rnacentral:misc_RNA from 1 species
AGAGUACAGAUGUGACUGUGGCACCCUCUUCUCCAGGUUAUUUGAUUGUAGAUUUCAAAUCUCUCUCUCCCUCUUGAUUCUUUGUUUGGUAUGUAAAAUAUUCUCCGUUUUAUAUGAUUAGUUUGUUGAAGAAAUCAAUGCACUCACAGGUAGACUUUAAUGAGGGGUUUUAUUAAAUAUAUAUAUGAUGCACUGAAAUUUAAUAAGGUCAGACCAAAAGGGUCUUUUAUUAUCUAUAAAUACACAACAAAUUGUUGAAACGAGGUUUGUGCUUAUCAAACAGGAAGGAUAGCUUCAUCACCCACAGAGCCUUCUGUGAUGCUUUAGCAGAAGAAAGUGCGCGAUUCACUUCAGUUUCAGCAGCCAUUAAUGCAAACUUUAGAAGCGAUUUGAUCAAUGGAGCUCCUAAUAGUAAUCACCAUCAAUCCACUGGGAUAUCUCAAUUUUCAUCAGUGUUUAGACCUGAAUUUGCCCCUGGAUCCGAGCUGGUGGCUGAUCUUAGCAUUGUUGAUGGGCAAAAGCCAAGGCUUCCAAUAUGGCUAGACCAUGCCAAUCCUCAGAUGAACCCAAUUAAUUCUAAUGCCUUCUUGGCACCCAACUCAGCUUGCUUGCCUGAAUUGGUUCAAACACCACAGAUGAAUACGUUUGGUUCAGCAUCAUCACAAUCUCAGUGGCUCGGUAAGUACCAAGAAGCACCGUUUACAGGUGGCAGCAAUCUCUCUAUGUCGGCAUUGCCACGAGGACUAAAAGAGGAAGAAGGGAACAAAGGAGAUUUAUCUGAAUCUAUAACUUCUUUGUAUUCAAGUAACCAGCAUCAGCAACAAAGAAACUCAGCUCACAUGUCAGCUACUGCACUUUUGCAAAAAGCAGCCCAAAUGGGAUCUACAAGGAGCAACCCGGCAUUCAGUACCGGCAAUGGAAUUUCACUGAUGAAUUCACCAUCUCUCUCAAAUGCGUCCAACUUCCAUUCUUAUGACCAAAGCAAAAGUCCUGAAACCCGCAAGUUUCUGAGCAGGCAACCAAAUCAAGCUGCAGAGAACUUUAACGAACUAGCAAAUUCACUUUCUCCUUCAACUCCAGCCCCGUUUGUGGGUGAUUCGAAUUCGAGGUCAAUCUUGGGUACUAAUAAUGCCACGAAGAACUUGAAUCAUUUAAUGAUGCAAUCAAAUAGGAAGCAAAACCAUGGGAGCUCCAGUGAAGUGGAGGGAAGUUUAACCAGAGACUUUCUUGGUGUAGGUGGUGAAACACGCAGACCAUUCUUGCAACAAGAGCUAGCGAAAUUUGCAUCGAUGAGUUCAGUGAUGGAUUUGAGCCAAUAUAGUUCUGGGCAUCGAUCGCUAAGUUAAUCCAAUUUCAGAAGGUAAGAUUGCUGCUGUAUUAUACCCGAAUUAUGAAGCUACCUAGCUUAGCUAGGUUUUUUUUUUUUUUUU